AGUGAACGCUGGCGGUAGGCCUAACACAUGCAAGUCGAACGGCAGCACAGUAAGAGCUUGCUCUUACGGGUGGCGAGUGGCGGACGGGUGAGGAAUACAUCGGAAUCUACUUUUUCGUGGGGGAUAACGUAGGGAAACUUACGCUAAUACCGCAUACGACCUACGGGUGAAAGCAGGGGAUCUUCGGACCUUGCGCGAUUGAAUGAGCCGAUGUCGGAUUAGCUAGUUGGCGGGGUAAAGGCCCACCAAGGCGACGAUCCGUAGCUGGUCUGAGAGGAUGAUCAGCCACACUGGAAGUGAGACACGGUCCAGACUCCUACGGGAGGGAGCAGAGGGGAAUAUUGGACAAUGGGCGCAAGCCUGAUCCAGCCAUACCGCGUGGGUGAAGAAGGCCUUCGGGUUGUAAAGCCCUUUUGUUGGGAGAGAAAAGCAGCAGGUUAAUACCCCGCUGUUCUGACGGUACCCAAAGAAUAAGCACCGGCUAACUUCGUG
rnacentral:rRNA from 1 species